ensembl:lncRNA
GGGUAGUAGAGAAGGGGUUGGUGAGGGUAGUAGAGAAGGGGUUGGUGAGGGUAGUAGAGAAGGGGUUGGUGAGGGUAGUAGAGAAGGGGUUAGUGAGGGUAGUAGAGAAGGGUUUGGUGAGGGUGGUAGAGAAGGGGUUGGUGAGGGGACUAGUAGAGAAGGGGUUGGUGAGGGUAGUAGAGAAGGGGUUGGUGAGGGACUGAGGGUAAUAGAGAAGGGGUUGGUGAGGGUGGUAGAGAAGGGGUUGGUGAGGGUAGUAGAGAAGGGGUUGGUGAGGGUAGUAGAGAAGGGGUUGGUGAGGGUAGUAGAGAAGGGGUUGG